GAGAAUCACAGUCUCAGCGGCUGCCGCUCCUGAGGGGCACGCGUGCUGCCCGGUCUGGAGGGUUCGCUGCAAUCGGUGCUACAGCUUUAGGAACUGUGAUUUACUGCGGAUUUAAAACUCUUUAAACAGCCGACUUCCUGCUGAUGGGUCUGAGGGAAGAGCGGCAGCGACUCGGGCAGGGCCUCGGUGCGGAGGCUGGGAGGAGCGCCUGCUUUUUAGGAAAGGAUGCUUCAGCCUCAGCCUCCCGUCCAUGCUCCUCUCCGGUGUGAGUGCAGAGAAGGUCCUGGGUUCUGUCUGCGGCUUCACUCUGGGGGUCUUGGACCUGGACCCGAGAGAGCCCAGAACCACAGGAACAGCAGAAGGGCCGGAGCGUCGCACAGCAACUGUGGGCCCGCGGUGGCUCUGGAGCCAGUCGGCGUGACUCUGCCAUUAGCUCUGUCCCCUUGGUGAGGUGAUUCAAAUUCUCAGAACUGUUUGCCCGUUCAGAACAUGGGGAUGAUAGUUCUGUGUAGUGCUGCUGUGAGGGUUAAGCGAGAUAAAUGUGUGUAAAAGUGCUUAGUACAGACACACUUCAUAUUCUCAGUCACUGCCUGUGUUCCACCAGGAAAAAGUGCUUUCUGAGUCAAAUUUUGUCUAUUUUUCAAGGCUCAGCUGAUCCCAGCUGUGAAUAAGUUUACAGGAAGCUUACUGUUACCCCAGACAGGAAUCCCUUCUACUCCAGCCGGGAUUUUUCAGCAGUUAGGGCCUGUUCAACAGAGUAAGCCAGCAGGAGUUACAUUUAGCCUUAUGUAGCUGUGUGCAUUUUAAUGUUUGUGCCCGAGUAGAUUCUAAGCUCUUUGAGGGCAGGAACCAUGUGUUAGAUGUCUUGGAAUAUCUUACAGAAUCUCGAAUAGUGGCAAGUCCUCCAGCAGAAGCUGCAAACUGACUCCUUAGCGCGAGCCGGAAACUGGAAUGCCCUUUUUACUGUACUGGCCUUUGGGAGGUAGAAAGGCCACACUGGCCAGUGCACGUGGUCCGUGCCAGAUAGCUCCAUCCUACCUCCCUUUGCAGGGGCUGGACAAGGGCAGUCUGGGUGCUUGACUCAGCCAAUUCUGAAGAUAGGUCUUUGUGUGGCAGCCAUCAGCCAGAAAAAGAAAUUCUAUUUUGAUUUGGUCAUUUAUUGGCAUGAAGUUUUACUUUUGCCCACUGUGGUCAACCAGAUGUACUGGUUGGUGCUGGUUGCAGCCCACGGAAGGCCCCACCUGUGCCAUGGGCACAGACAGAUGGGAGCAGCUGGCUGCCUGGAGACAGGACCUCAGUUUCCGUUUGAUGCAGCCACUCUAAAUAAACAUGCCAGUCUAUUGUUUGUAGCUGGCAUCACUGACUUUCACAGAUAACCCCCAAAAGAAGAUGGGGUCUCUCCACUGGCCUGGGUGGGGGUGCAGCUACACCUUGCACAUGGUUUCACAUGAAGAGAAACAUGAGAUGAAAUAAAGGAACAGGAAAGAGAGAUACAAGAACUAAGAGUGAGGAGUAUCUCACUUUUAACCCUUCUCGUGUCUUUGGGGUGCCACCAUUUUAGUGAAUGGGACUAGCGAUUCUAGAGUAUAAUACAUUUCACAAUCACAACUGACAUUUUGUCUGUUUUCCAACACAUUUAAAGGAUACAAAAUAUAAUAUCACAUCAGUCUUCCUAAUAGUAAUACAGUCAGGUAUUACGCAUGAUCGUUCUACUAAGUUUAUUUGAGGGAAGCAAACAUUGAGAAUUCAGGGAUGAGAUUCCAGCCUCUGUUGGCCUCAGCAUCACCAGGGUGCUAGUUUCUCCUGAGCCUGAACCUGCAUUUUAAGCAGACCCAGGUGGUUUCUUGCACAUUCUUGUUGGAGAAGCACUGCUGUGGGGUCAGCACAGAAGUCCUCUCCAUGUUUCAUUGAGUUACAGCCCCCAGGUUAACAGUCCUCCCCUGACUUGCCAGAAAGAGCAGCCUUCCUUCUUUCAAAAGGCCUGGGAAAAUUGCUCAGGCUGGGACUUGCGGGCGGUUAGAUUCAGUGCCACAGAGGGCUUCCAGUUGAGGUUCGUUCCCCAUUCCCCUGGGUCCCAGCAUCACUCCUGAGGCUUCGCUUGUGAGAAACUGUUCUGCUUUUUUAGGAGCAACAGCAGCCACUUCAGCACAGGCUGAGGGUCUCUUAUCUGAAGUGCUUGGGAUCAGAAAUGCUUUGAAUUUUGGAUUUUUGAAUAUUUGCAUGUACAUAAUGAGAUAUCUUGAGACAGGACCCAAAUCUAAACACGAAAUUCAUUUAUGUUUCAUACACAUAGCCCGAAGGUCAUUUUAUACAACAUUUUAAAUAAUUUGUGCGUGAAGCAAAGUGCGGACUGCGUUUUGACUGUGACACAUCACGUGAGGACUGUGUAGAGUUUUUCACUUGUGGGGUCAUGUUGAGGCUCAAAAUAUUUCUGAUUUUGGAGCAUUCUGGAUUUCAGAUUUUCCAAUUGGGGUGCUCACCUGUGUCACUUUUCUGCCAAUCCACCACCAGGUUUGUGCCUCUCAGGUGAGACGCAUGGUCCAGAGAGAUCUUGGGUCUCAGACAGACAAAACUGACAAGGACAAAAAUGCACCCUCAGCUGAGAAGAGGGCACCGGAUAGAAUUCUGUUUAAAAACACUGUGGGGCAGUCAGGUGUCCGACCUACGUGGUCGCUGAUGAGGGAGUGGGUCGUGGCUGACUGGUGUGGUGUGCAGGACACGGAGGCUCAGUUCCAUGGUCACCGAUGAGGGAGUGGGUCGCGGCUGGUUGGUGUCGUGUGCAGGACACAGAGGCUCGGUUCUAUGGUCUCUCCCUGUCAGCACUGCAGAGAAGGCAGCUCAGUGGACGCCACUCACACAGGGGCAGGGAGGGGUGGACAGUGCCCCAAGGGACUUUCCGAUAUACUAAAAUUGCCUAACACAGCAGUUCCUCAUGGAUAUUGGUAACGAAGGCAAGAUGUGUUUUUGGUUUAUUGUUACUUUUGGCAAGUCUCCAAAACUCAUACAGCCCAGUUUUCUGAUGGAAACUGAGAAACAUUUAUCAACAACAGUAUCUACCCAAUAGAAUCUUGUAGACUUAAAUGCAGUAAUGUGUUUUUAGAGCACCAGAGUCUUUGAAAGAGACCCGUAUUAUGAAGUUAAGAGUAUCAGGUUUUAUUCUCGGUAAACCUCAGAAAGUACAAAUACUGCCACUGGCUCGGAGUUUCCUUGUUCAUUUUCCUGCACGGGGCACCUUCGAUCACACCUGUUGUCUGCAUGAAUCAGGUCUUCUCUAUUUCUCAGAGGUACGUCAUCCGUUCUAGAGAGUUCUGUCUCCCAUAUGAAGUGCUUCCUACAGAAAGAAUGUAUAGCUCUUCAUGUUGCCAAAGCACCAAGACACACUAAACCCACACAGCACAUUCCACAGGGCAUUUCGAGUGGCUGGAGGCCACGGCACCAGAGCCCAGGGUGGCACCUGCACACUCUCAUGUGGGAAGUGGGCAUGACCAGAGGCAGAGGCCAG
rnacentral:lncRNA from 1 species